rnacentral:tRNA from 1 species
UAAGUAAAUAGCUAAUUUAAGUUUUUUAGUUACAUUAAUUGGAUAUUCGAGAAAGAUUUUUACUU